GACGAAGGUGGCGAGCGUUGUUCGGAAUCACUGGGCAUAAAGCCCACGUAGGCGGUGACGUAAGUCGGGUGUGAAAUCCCUCGGCCUAACCGAGGAACUGCGCCCGAUACUGCGUUGCUUGAGGACCAGAGGGGUGCAUGGAAUUUCCGGUGGAGCGGUGAAAUGCGUUGAUAUCGGAAGGAACUCCGGCGGCGAAAGCGAUGCACUGGCUGGUUUCUGACGCUGAGGUGCGAAAGCCAGGGGAGCAAACGGG
rnacentral:rRNA from 1 species